rnacentral:rRNA from 1 species
GACGAACGCUGGCGGCGUGCUUAACACAUGCAAGUCGAACGAAAAGGCCCGGCUUUUGUGGGGUGCUCGAGUGGCGCACGGGUGAGUAAAACGUGAGUAAACUGCACCUGAAUUAGGGAUAACUUCAGGAAACUGGGGCGAAUACCGGGUAGAAGAUCCUGCUGCGUGGUGGGGGUUGGAAAGUUUCGGCGGUUGGGGAUGGACUCGCGGCUUAUCAGCUUGUUUGUGGGGUAGGGGCUUACAAGGGCUUUGACGGGUAGCCGGCCUGAGAGGGUGACCGGCCACAAUGGGACUGCGAUACGGCGCAGAAUCCUACGGGCGGCAGCAGGGGGGAAUAUUGCGGAAUGGGCGGAAGCCUGAGGCAGCAACGCCGCGAGCGUGAUACUGUGUUACGGGUUGUGAACCGCUUUGUCAGGUGACGUGCCGUGCGUGACGGUAAUUGGUCAGGAAGCCACGGCUAACUACGUG